rnacentral:lncRNA from 1 species
CAACGUUAUUGACGUCGCCGCAACAGUUACGACGCUUCAUAUAGUCCUAUACUUGUAUGAAAUAUAUACCGUUUUGUUGGAGUUCGUGUUGCUCGGUUUUGAGUUCUUUAUGUUACGUUUUGUGUACUAUUGUAUUGUAUUUGUCUAUUAUAUUCGGGUGCGUGCGGAGAUCGCCAAGCUAGAAAACGGUUGACAUUUUCUUCAUUAUGAACUAAAACUAUUUUCGACCUUGGUGCCUUAUUUUUUGUUAAAAUCUAAACACUGCAACGUGUUUUCAAAAUCUUUGUUCCCAUAAAACUUCAUUUCAUCAAGGUCUCUUCUCAGAAUAUCAGCCAUCUGUCUGGCACAGGAUAACAAAUCAAUAUUUAAGUAAAUUUAAGUUGUGUGGUAAUUCUUAGUACAUUUGGGUAAAUUAAUCUUAUCUUUGUGCCGCAUAAGCAUCCCUAUAAUUCAACACAUCCCUGAGCCACGACAUUAUAUAUUUUAUGCAUUGCAUGCGCUUCUUUUUAUCACAAUCCAGACCGGCU